rnacentral:lncRNA from 1 species
GCCAAGCCCAGCCACUGGCAUGGAGUGGGUUCUCCAGGAGGGUAAAAGCUCACCCUUCCCCUCAGUGCUGGAGCAAAGGUUUGUGACCAUCUAGUGAAAACACAGCAGCUGAAGCUCUGCCAUGGGAUAAUGUGAUGUCUCUGAAGCAGAACCUCCUGCAGGAUGAAGGCUGAGAUGGGACCACAUGGCUGAGGAGUUCCCCAGUGCCACAGCACGGAUGUGACAGGAGGUCAGCCCACAGGAGAUGGGUGAGCACACAGCCAGAUGCAAACAGCACAUCCAGGUUUCCCCAAAAUGAAGCUAUUCAUGGUUCAUCUGGUGGAAGAAUCCAGAGU